rnacentral:rRNA from 1 species
AUGGCCCUUUUUUCCACGUCUAGAUGUUCUUGGUUAGGGCUCUGUGUGCUCCUUGUCAUGAGCUGCCUGAUGCUAGCCGGCUGCUCUUCGGAGUCGUUGCUGACAAGCGAUGAUGAGCACUUGGGCAACCAUCAUGAUCUGAUGAUGGACCGUUUCCACUUGUGGAUGACGGUGCAGAACAGAUCCUACUCCACCGCCGAUGUGAAGGCUCGCCGGUAUGAGGUAUACCGGAGCAACAUGAGGUUUAUAGAGGCCGUGAAUGCCCAGGCGGCCACCUCUGGGCUCACGUACGAGCUUGGGGAGGGUCCCUUCACCGACCUUUCAAGUGAAGAAUUCAUGGCGCUUUAUACCGGCCAGAUUCCAGAGGGUGACCAUGGGCAAGAUGGUGAGGAAGACCAGCAGAUUAUCACCACCCAUGCUGGGCCUAUGGGUCCUGCGGGCACAUAUUCUGUGUACGCCAACUUCUCGGCCGGCGCGCCGAGGAGCAUCGACUGGAGGAACAGAGGUGCCGUCACCCCCGUAAAAAACCAAGGGCAAUGUGGAUCUUGCUGGGCAUUCUCCACGGUGGCUACAAUUGAAGGACUGCACAAGAUCAAGAGAGGGACUAUUGUCUCCCUGUCGGAGCAACAGCUGGUAGACUGCGACUCCCUUGAUGGCGGUUGCAAUGGUGGCCAGACCAGCAGAGCUUUCCUGUGGAUCAAAAGGAAUGGAGGGAUCACCACCACAGCUUCCUACAGAUACAAGGCAUCCAGAGGUCAGUGCAUGAGGAACCGUAAGCCGGCGGCAACAAUUAUUGGCUCGAGGGCAGUCAAGAGCAACAGCGAGGUGUCACUGAUGAACGCCGUGGCAAACCGUCCUGUAGCCGUUGCCAUCUCGGUAGAUGGCAAGCACUUCCACCACUUCAAGCUGGGCAUCUACAAUGGGCCAUGUGGUGAUGGUAAGCUCAACCAUGCUGUCACCGUAGUAGGUUAUGGGCAACAGAAACAAAACGGGGCCAAGUACUGGAUCGUGAAGAAUUCAUGGGGGGGCACAUGGGGUGACAAAGGCUUCAUGCAAAUGAAGAGGGGAACAAAGAAUCCAUCAGGGCAGUGUGGCAUUGCGAUGCAGCCAGUUUUUCCCCUUAUGAAAGGUGGAAGAACGACUGAUUAA